rnacentral:rRNA from 1 species
UACGGAGGGUGCGAGCGUUGUCCGGAUUUAUUGGGUUUAAAGGGUGCGUAGGUGGCUUCUUAAGUCUGGUUUGAAAGUCGGCGGCUUAACCGUUGGAUGUGGCUGGAAACUGGGGGGCUUGAAUUACUUGGCGGUAGCCGGAAUGGGUCAUGUAGCGGUGAAAUGCAUAGAUAUGACCCGGAACCCCGAUUGCGAAGGCAGGCUACUACGAUUUGAUUGACACUGAGGCACGAGAGCAUGGGUAGCGAACAGG